GCAUUAAUGGGGUAGUGGUAACCUGGGUCGUUGCCAUUCGAGUGAUAAGCUCGACCCGCCGGGGGUUCGAUUCCCUCUUAAUGCA
rfam:Hebeloma cylindrosporum h7 unplaced genomic scaffold scaffold_8, whole genome shotgun sequence.